GCAUUAAUGGGGUAGUGGUAACCUGGGUCGUUGCCAUGUUGCGCUUGAAUGUCGUUCUCGACCCGCCGGGGGUUCAAUUCCCUCUUAAUGCA